AGCCAGACCCUACAGCUGCUCUGACUGUGGGGCCUCCUUCCUUGAUCGACUAGCUCUUACACGACACCAGGAAACCCACACUCACGAAAGGGCCCCCACUCCUGAGGAUCCCCCUUCAGAGUCAGCCUCCCUGUCUACAAACCAGGAAGUUGAGGGAGAAGCCUCUACCCCCCCAAAGAGCAGCAGCCACAGGGAAGAGGAAAGUCCCAAAACUGUUUUGGAGAAAAAGCCCUAUCUGUGCCCUGAGUGUGGAGAUGGCUUCACGGAAGUUGCAACACUCCUUCUCCAUAGGAGCUGUCACCCCGGUGUCUCCCUGUGAAGUAGGUCUGGCGACCAGGGACCACUCUCUCCUGAUAAAUUAUGGGGAAAAGGAGGCCAGCCCCACCAGAUCAUAGAGAAGUAGAGGGUCAAGAACCCUGGGAAGAAAUAGUGAGUUUGCAUCCGUGAGGAGAAGCCUAAGAGAUUGUGGGUGAGAACCACUUACAAGCCGUAGAGAAAAACUGCUGGGUUAUAAGCCCUAUAUAUGUAGGAAAAAAGCCCUUUAAGUCUGUAGCAGAGAAAUCUUAUAAACCAUAGUGGGUAAAAGCCCUAUUAAAUGUAGAAAGAGGUUCUAACGUCUCUAGACAACCCCAUAAAACUGUAUCAAACCCUUAUCAGAAUCCGUGGGUGGGGGAGGAAUGGGGAAUACAGCUCUACAGCUGGGCACUGACUUGUGAGGUGACCCUCAGAUGACAGAGGAAACAGUCUUCCCAGUCAGUAUUCCCUCCUGUGACAGGAAAAGUGCUCAGAGGGAAGCCAUACAGUAGAGGAAAGCUGAAGAACUAGAAUAAGAAGAAAAAUGGGGAGGAAAGACCAGGCGCUUCCAAACUCAAAGAUGAGACGAUGAAAAAAGGUGUCUUGUCGCACUGGGGGUUUUUGGUGGGGGUAUAAGGCCAAUCUUAGGUAAAUUGUAUGUACUAGGGGAAGGAAGACUGGGGGUCCCUUAUCAGUAAGAUUCCCCAAGUGGGAAAGAAACAGAAAUGACAAGCCAUUUUAAAGGCUGGAGUUUGGGGUGUUUCAAACCCUCAAGUGUAAGGAUACUGAGUACAUGCAGAGAAACCACCUCAGACAUUAGGGAAGUUCCAUUUGUUUGAAGGGAAGCAAACCAGGGUGGAGAGGCCGCAGAUGGAAGCCAGUGUCAGUUUCUCCUCGUUCCCGGGAGCUUGUUAAACUCCAAGUGCAAGCACAUCCCAGGUCGUGCUGUUCGUAUCCUCAGACAGGCAGGACCAGCCUUUCUCCAGCCCAGCUGGAAAUGUCUACUCUGAGAGGCCUCUGGGGUUGCAAGGGGCCUCUGCCACAUUCUCAGGUCUCACAGGUUUUACCUGGAAGCUAACUGCCACAAGUCUUACUGCAGUGGCAACCCGUUCCCUCAGAUUCUGUCCUCAGUGGAGAGAGCCACUCGCUGCUAGUCAACUUCCAAAGAAUAAAUUCCUUCAGAAAUUC
rnacentral:lncRNA from 1 species